ACAAACCCUAAACCCUAGUUCCCGUGUUCAACGUUUAACCGUCCGUCUUAUUUAAAAAAUUAUGAAAAAAAUUAAAAAUAUAAGUCACGCAUAAAGUAUUAAUCAUGUUUUAUCAUAUAACAACAAUAAAAAUACUAAUUAUAAAACAUUUUCAUAUAAGACGGACAAUCAAAUAUUGGCACGGAAACCCACGGUUUAUCUUUUU
rfam:Oryza glaberrima chromosome 1 Oglab01_0289_14, whole genome shotgun sequence.